AGUGGAAUUGCUGGCUUAUAUGGUAACUAUUUUUAACAUUUUGAGGAACUGUCAAACUAUUUUCCAAAUUGGCUGUACCAUUUUACAUUCUCACAAGCAAU
rnacentral:pre_miRNA from 1 species